rnacentral:rRNA from 1 species
CCUACGGGAGGCAGCAGUCGAGGAUCUUCGGCAAUGGGCGCAAGCCUGACCGAGCGACGCCGCGUGCGCGAUGAAGGCCUUCGGGUUGUAAAGCGCUGUCGAGGGGGAGGAAGCCGCAAGGUUGACCUAUCCCUGGAGGAAGGACGGGCUAACUUCGUGCCAGCAGCCGCGGUAAUACGAAGGGGGCGAGCGUUGUUCGGAAUUAUUGGGCGUAAAGGGCGCGUAGGCGGCCAUGCGUGUCUUCCGUGAAAUCCCUCGGCUUAACUGAGGACGUGCGGAAGAAACUGCAAGGCUCGAGUCCGGGAGAGAGGGACAUGGAACUCCGGGUGUAGUGGUGAAAUGCGUAGAUAUCCGGAAGAACACCAAAGGCGAAGGCAGUGUCCUGGCUGGUACCUGACGCUGAGGGGCGAAAGCUAGGGGAGCGAACGGGAUUAGAUACCCCGGUAGUCCUAGCCGUAAACGAUGACCACUAGGUGUGCGGGGUAUCAACCCCCCGCGUGCCGCAGCUAACGCAGUAAGUGGUCCGCCUGGGGAGUACGGUCGCAAGAUUAAAACUCAAAGGAAUUGACGG